GCUGCUUUUUGUUCGAUCGAUGAAGAGGAGGGAUUUAAAAUUCCAAAAGAUGGCUCCUAGUGCUUCAAAUUCCCAUCACUCUAUUGUGUCUUCGGCGGCUUUGAUGCUUUUGACACUGUUAGCACUUGUCUUUUGCUGCUUGCUUCUUGUCGGAAACAAGAGGCUACACGAGGACGCCAACGUUGUGAAAGAUGUUCUUAUUGAGGCUGCCAACAAUGCCACAGCUACUAUAUACAAUGUCACGACAGAGAUGACGGAUAUAACGAGCAAGUUGGAGCCAUUCGAUGGUAACCUUACUACUCUGUUCUCGUCGAAGGCCAGGCUCUACUUUGAAGCCGUGCAAAUCCAACAAAAGGUUCAGGACAACAAGAAGCUGAUUGAGAGAACGUUGAAAGAAAUGUGAGAUACAUCACUAUCCUUGUUACGAGCUCGGUAAUAAUGCUCUUUUUGAUAGUGGGACUAGUUAUUUUGAUCGGUAGGGUCAGAUUUCUGUGAUAAGUAC